AUUGAACGCUGGCGGCAGGCUUAACACAUGCAAGUCGAGCGGAGACUUCGGUCUUAGCGGCGAACGGGUGAGGAAUGCCUGGGAAUCUGCCUAUUAGUGGGGGAUAACGUUCCGAAAGGAACGCUAAUACCGCAUACGUCCUACGGGAGAAAGCAGGGGACCUUCGGGCCUUGCGCUAAUAGAUGAGCCCAGGUCGGAUCAGCUAGUUGGUGGGGUAAAGGCUCACCAAGGCGACGAUCCGUAGCUGGUCUGAGAGGAUGAUCAGCCACACUGGAACUGAGACACGGUCCAGAAUCCUACGGGAGGCAGCAGUGGGGAAUAUUGGACAAUGGGCGAAAGCCUGAUCCAGCCAUGCCGCGUGUGUGAAGAAGGCCUUCGGGUUGUAAAGCACUUUAAGCGGGGAGGAAGUACUUGGGGCUAAUAUCCCUGAGUGUUGACGUUACCCGCAGAAUAAGCACCGGCUAACUCUGUGCCAGCAGCCGCGGUAAUAC
rnacentral:rRNA from 1 species